rnacentral:rRNA from 11 species
UAUGCUGGCCAUGCCUAAAGGCAUCAUCAGAUCCCAGCUGAUCUUGGAAGCAAAGCAGGGUCAGGUCUGGUUAGUUAGUACUUGGAUGGGAGACCUCCAAAAGAAUACCAGUAACACAUGC